GACAGAGGGUGCAAACGUUGCUCGGAAUUACUGGGCGUAAAGCGCGUGUAGGCGGUUCCGCAAGUCAGGUGUGAAAUCCCUCGGCUUAACCGGGGAACUGCGUCUGAUACUGGAUGGCUUGAGUUUGGGAGAGGGAUGCGGAAUUCCAGGUGUAGCGGUGAAAUGCGUAGAUAUCGCUUGGAACGCCAGUGGUGAAAACGGGUCGCUGGGGACAUGCUGACGCUGAGACACGAAAGCCAGGGGAGCGAACGGG
rnacentral:rRNA from 1 species